rnacentral:rRNA from 1 species
UGGGGAAUAUUGCGCAAUGGGCGGAAGCCUGACGCAGCCAACCCGCGUGUGUGAUGAAGGCCUUCGGGUUGUAAAGCACUGUCGUGAGGGAAGAAGAUCUGACGGUACCUCACAAGAAAGCACCGGCUAACUCCGUGCCAGCAGCCGCGGUAAUACAGAGGUGGCAAGCGUUGUUCGGAAUUACUGGGCUUAAAGGGCGCGUAGGUGUCCUGGCAAGUCAGAUGUGGAAUCUUUCUGCUUAACGGAAAAAUUGCAUUUGAAACUGCCGGGAUUGAGUCAGACAGGGGAUGGCGGAAUUCCUGGUGUAGCGGUGAAAUGCGUAGAUAUCAGGAGGAAGGCCUGUGGUGAAGACGGCCAUCUGGGUCUGAACUGACACUGAGGCGCGAAAGCGUGGGUAGCAAACAGGAUUAGAUACCCUGGUAGUCCACGCCCUAAACGGUGGGUACUAGGUGUGGGGCUCGCAAGGGUUCCGUGCCGAAGGGAAACCAUUAAGUACCCCGCCUGGGGAGUACGGCCGCAAGGUUG